rnacentral:rRNA from 1 species
UGAGGAAUAUUGGUCAAUGGGCGCGAGCCUGAACCAGCCAAGUAGCGUGAAGGAUGACUGCCCUAUGGGUUGUAAACUUCUUUUAUAAAGGAAUAAAGUUCGUUACGUGUAACGUUUUGUAUGUACUUUAUGAAUAAGCAUCGGCUAACUCCGUGCCAGCAGCCGCGGUAAUACGGAGGAUGCGAGCGUUAUCCGGAUUUAUUGGGUUUAAAGGGAGCGUAGAUGGGAUUUUAAGUCAGCUGUGAAAGUUUGAGGCUCAACCUUAAAAUUGCAGUUGAAACUGGGAUUCUUGAGUAUGGAUGCGGUAGGCGGAAUUCGUGGUGUAGCGGUGAAAUGCUUAGAUAUCACGAAGAACUCCGAUUGCGAAAGCAGCUUACUAAGCCAUAACUGACAUUGAUGC